rnacentral:misc_RNA from 1 species
GAAUUUUCCCGUCAAUGAACUUUUUAUCAACUGAACUUUCGCUGAAUUACUCUUUGAAAUUCUGCUAAACUUGUCAUCAAUAUCAUAAUAAACAAGGAAAAAAAAGAAACAUGUUACAAUUUUCCAACUCUUCUUGGUUUUCAUUUUCAACUCUCUUUCAAGAAAUAAGCUACGGGAGAGAGCAAACAUGGAAGAAGAACUCCUACCAAAGUCUACACUUAUUUUGCAAGUUAAUCCCAUCAAUGACUUGCCACCACCACCAAGUGAAUCUUCGGCCACUGUUGUGGUGUUUCUGAGUACCAUAGUUGCUAUUUGCGGUUCCUUUGGCACAGGGUGUGCUGUAAGUUCUCUCUAUUUCUAUCCUCUUUUUUAAGUUUUCGC